rnacentral:tRNA from 1 species
GGGGAUUUAGCUCAGUGGUAGAGCGCUUGCCUAGCAAGCACAAGGCCCUGAGUUCGGUCCUCAGCUCCG